AUUGAACGCUGGCGGCAGGCCUAACACAUGCAAGUCGAACGAGUGGCGGACGGGUGAGUAAUGUCUGGGAAACUGCCUGAUGGAGGGGGAUAACUACUGGAAACGGUAGCUAAUACCGCAUACCAUCGGAUGUGCCCAGCUGGGAUUAGCUAGUAGGUGGGGUAAAGGCCAACCUAGGAGACGAUCCCUAGCUGGUCUGAGAGGAUGAACAGCCACACUGGAACUGAGACACGGUCCAGACUCCGACGGGAGGGAGCGGUGGGUAAUAUUGCACAAGGGGGGCAAGCCUGAUGCAGCCAUGCCGGGUGUAUGAAGAAGGCCUUCGGGUUUUAAAGUACUUUCAGCGGGGAGGCGUUACCCGCAGAAGAAGCACCGGCUAACUCCGUGCCAGCAGCCGCGGUAAUAC
rnacentral:rRNA from 1 species